GACGAACGCUGGCGGCGUGCUUAACACAUGCAAGUCGAACGGAAAGGCCCUGCUUUUGUGGGGUGCUCGAGUGGCGAACGGGUGAGUAACACGUGAGUAACCUGCCCUUGACUUUGGGAUAACUUCAGGAAACUGGGGCUAAUACCGGAUAGGAGCUCCUGCUGCAUGGUGGGGGUUGGAAAGUUUGGGCGGUUGGGGAUGGACUCGCGGCUUAGCGGCUUGUUGGUGGGGUAGUGGCUUACCAAGGCUUUGACGGGUAGCCGGCCUGGGAGGGUGACCGGCCACAUUGGGACUGAGAUACGGCCCAGACUCCUACGGGAGGCAGCAGUGGGGAAUAUUGCACAAUGGGCGGAAGCCUGAUGCAGCAACGCCGCGUGCGGGAUGACGGCCUUCGGGUUGUAAACCGCUUUCGCCUGUGACGAAGCGUGAGUGACGGUAAUGGGUAAAGAAGCACCGGCUAACUACGUG
rnacentral:rRNA from 1 species